rnacentral:rRNA from 1 species
AGAGUUUGAUCAUGGCUCAGGACGAACGCUGGCGGCGUGCCUAACACGUGCAAGUCGAACGGGGAUUCAGAUGAAGCCUAGCGAAUCUGGAUCCUAGUGGCGGACGGGUGAGUAACGCGUGGGUAAUCUGCCCUUAAGUGGGGGAUAACAGUCGGAAACGACUGCUAAUACCGCAUGUGCUGCCGGGGACACAUGUUUCUGGCAGGAAAGGUGGCCUCUUAACAAUGCUACCGCUUAAGGAUGAGCCCGCGUCUGAUUAGCUAGUAGGUAGGGUAAUGGCCUACCUAGGCGACGAUCAGUAGCCGGCCUGAGAGGGUGUACGGCCACACUGGAACUGAGACACGGUCCAGACUCCUACGGGAGGCAGCAGUGGGGAAUAUUGCGCAAUGGGGGAAACCCUGACGCAGCGACGCCGCGUGAGCGAAGAAGGCCUUCGGGUUGUAAAGCUCUGUUCUAAGGGACGAAGGACUUGGCUGUGAAUAAUGGUCAAGGGUGACGGUACCUUAGGAGAAAGCCCCGGCUAACUACGUGCCAGCAGCCGCGGUAAUACGUAGGGGGCGAGCGUUGUCCGGAAUUACUGGGCGUAAAGAGCGUGUAGGCGGGUGCUUAAGUCAGGUGUGAAAGACCGGGGCCCAACUCCGGGGUUGCACUUGAAACUGGGCAUCUUGAGGGCAGGAGAGGAAAGUGGAAUUCCUGGUGUAGCGGUGAAAUGCGUAGAUAUCAGGAGGAACACCGGUGGCGAAGGCGGCUUUCUGGACUGACCCUGACGCUGAGACGCGAAAGCGUGGGGAGCAAACAGGAUUAGAUACCCUGGUAGUCCACGCUGUAAACGAUGGGCACUAGGUGUAGGAGGUAUCGACCCCUUCUGUGCCGCAGCUAACGCAAUAAGUGCCCCGCCUGGGGAGUACGGUCGCAAGGCUGAAACUCAAAUGAAUUGACGG